rnacentral:rRNA from 1 species
AUGUAUGUUUUUCUCUACAAUGCUCAAGCGCUCAGCCACAAUCAUGAUCUCGCUAUUAUGUCAAGCAGACUAAUGGAUUUGGUUAUUGCUAUGACUAUGAGGCCUAACGAUCAAUACCCUAUUCUGCUUUUCCUACAACAAGGACAAUCCCCUACUCUGAUGAAUCUUCCGGAGCACGUCGUUGAUGGAGGUAACCUGCUACUCAUCAGGCGCACACAUCCUCCUUUCGCUUGCUCAGAUGAUGGUGUCCACUUCGAAGACAGUGAGCGAAAUCAACCACAGCACAUCAUUUCAGUUAGACAUACCUUAUCUUAUCACGAAACCGGGGUCUUAUCCGCGAUGCUCUACUCUGACAUGCUCGGAGCUCGUUGGGCUUUCUUUCAGUUGAAAUCACACCUUCUGUCCAAAGUUGCACUCAUGAUCACUUUCUUUCUGACGGUUGCUUUUGCACAUGUUUUGAUUCUACUCAUCCGUGGCCGAAGGACGGCGAACCCGUAUACCUACCUGAGACUGUUGAAUGCCACUGAACUUGAUCAUCCUUCGUUGAGUGGUAAAAGAUCACCGCCGCAGUGGCGGCAUCAGGUCCUCAGCGGCAUGAUACCAUGUGCUGAACCUGGGCGUCGACGGUGA